GUUAAUACUUUGAGUCUCGAAUCCUGCACUUUUAAAAUGCCUGGACCUGGACGCAGCAAACCAAUCCAAGGUGCACCUUCUGUGUUAGCCUUCACUGUGAUAUAUAGGAUUUGCUGAGAAGAGGCCCACCUGUAAAUGUGAGUACAAAUGAAUGUCUAUUCAUGCAGAUACUGCAGACGAGGGGUGGGGAAAUCUGGUGAGGGACAGCCUUGAGUCAAAGGAUGAUCACUGCUCCGUGUGUGGCUGCCCCACCCCUAGAAGGACAGAAGAUGCAGCCCCUGGAUCUAUCGCCUCAUCUUCAAGCCUCUUCUUCACCCUCCCAACCUUGAGCAGAGGUCUUUCCCUCACUUCUCUAAUUCCCUAAGAACUAUGGGAAAAUGUUAAAAUAUGAACAACUUGUGAAAGAUCAGCAGCAAAGAUAAAGUUGGGAGAGACACAUUGGGAGUGAGAGAAUUGGGGUAAGAAAGCUAGCAAAACAAAAACCAGGAACUUGGAAAGGUACAGAGGGUACAUAAAAAAAUGGAAGAAUCUGAGUGUCUUCUCUGAAUCUUAUCCUAGUCCGGAGAAUUACAAGCAGGAAAGGGCAUGGAGCUCGGCAAAGAGAAGGCAAAUACCUGGGUCAUCUCCCGGAUGGACAUCACACUAUCCAGAGCUUUCUGAAGCCGCUCAUAAUUCUUCUUCUAUUGAUAGUCAAUGAGAAAAAAAAAAAGAAUCAGACGAAGAAAUACAAAUCAGAUACAAAUUUACAAUGAAAAAGAAGGUUGAAUAAUUCAGGUCAUAGAAAUGGAAAGCUGACUAACAUACGUAUAACUUGGUCUUUCUCCCUCACACAUCCUUGAC